CUUUAAUAAUCAUGCCAGGCUAUAAACUCUGGAAUCAGACUCUUUGAGUUCCAGCUUCACCAUUUACCAACUUCGAUAUUUUGGAGAAGGCCACGUUUCCUAGCUUCCCUGGUUCCUAGGGGAACCAUGUGCCUAGUUCUAACUAAUGGGCCACAGGCUUAAGUGUGAAACUGUCCAUCCUGGGUCAGAGCAUAGAAGAGUGUUGAUGAGAUCUUCCUUCUCUACUCUUCCUUCUUCUGUGGUGACUGGUCAUGUUCCAGCACACUGUGAAGAAAACAAAAGAAGUGUUGAGACACAAAUUAUUGGCCCUCAAAUUAAAGCUUGCAAUCUAUUUGAGAAGGUGAACUGACCCAUAUAACACAAAUUACUAAAUUGGGACUUAUGAAUGGGAGGUCUAAAAGUCUGCUGAAGGUAGAGGUACUUACGGUCUGGAGAUAAAGGCUGAAACCUGGGGGAAUAUGUGCUAGUAACAUAGACAGGAUUUGAGUAGG